rnacentral:misc_RNA from 1 species
GUGCAGUUGGCGCUGAGCGCUCCCGCAGCCACAGUGACUCUUAAGACCGGUGAGGGGAAGGGUUGCUGUGCGUGACCAUUCGUGAGUCAACAUUGACCUCACAUUGGCUUCGUAAGCCUCCUCUCCUGAACAUGACCUGAGAGAGAGGGAGAGAGAGAAAAAAAGAAAGCUCCAGUUGAGCGAACCGCGACCAUAGAAGGGAAAGAGAUUAGUGGAUGAAGAACAAUGCCAAGGAUAUCCCCAGGAGGUGGAGGGGUGUCUCGGGUGGGGCCUGUGGUAGGGGGAGCUUCCCACAGUUGGAAGGAAGUGCAUCAAAGGGUAAGGGAGUUACGGCGCACCUUCCUUCACCUUUCUGUGAAGACACCAACUGAUGUGACUUUCCGACGAGUUGGACCGUCUUCACUGCGGUGCUACUUCCUCCUUUCUCCUGGCCAGGGAAGAGAGUCAACUCUAUUCUAUGCAGAUAUAAAUCUUGAAGCUCAGGCAUGGGGUAGCAGGAUAGUAUACCAGGAAGUACUGGAUUCAUUCCAGUCCUUCCUUUGGAGGAACAUGUCCCGUGAGGAGUUGCUGCUAAGUGAAAGAAGGCGCAUUUCUACCUGGGGCAUCACAAACUAUGAGCUCCACCCUUCAUCCGGCACCCUGGUUUUUCCUGCGUCCUCCACUAUCUUCCAGUGUGUACAUCCUGAAAGGCCGAAUGGUCCUGUGAGUCCACGGGAACUCCCUAGCUGCCAGGUGUGCCUCAGCCCCCAGAUUUGUCCUGCCAACCCAAGCCUCAUUGCUUUUGCUGCACGAUAUGAUAUUUACCUGUACAACACCAAAACAGGAGAGGAGAAGAGAGUGACACAUGUACACAGUGGAAGUGGGCGUUUGGAGUAUGAUCCUAAGAGUGCUGGCAUGCCCUCUUAUGUGAUGCAGGAGGAGUUCUCACGUUAUCAAGGAUUUUGGUGGCAGCCUGUGUCCUCUGAUGGAGUAUAUCGACUGCUAUAUGAAGAGGUCGAUGAGAGUGAAGUGCCGAUUGUCCAGUUCAUCCCUCCAGAUGACUCAUCUGGGUUGUUAGAUGAGUUUAGAUUCCCUCGCGCUGGCUUGGCUAAUGCAGAAUCAACCUUACGUCUUCUUGAAGUGGAGAUAGGAGCUUCUGGGGAACUUUGUGUCACCACACGCCAUCUGCGUCAUGAUCUCAAGCAAUUGGCACCUUGGCAUGAGUACUUGGUGCGGGUUGGAUGGGUACCUAAUGGGCAACAGAUAUGGUGUCAGUUGUUGGACAGGAGACAACAGAAGUUGGAGCUUAUUUUGCUUUCAUUGUCUUCUUUCAUGGGGAUCAACUUAUCUCCCUCCACCUCUACUGCCAAUAGUACCACUACAAUCUCCACAACUACUAUGACUACUACCACUUCUACUACAGCUACCAAUGCAACAACCCAAUCAGUUCCUCACAUGGCUCCUCAUCUGAUGAUUUCUCAGCACUCUAAUACAUGGAUUGAUGUACACAACUUACUGUAUUGGUGGACAAGCCAAAAUGAUCCCACCCAGCGUAUGGUAGUGUGGGCUAGUGAAGAGUCUGGAUUCCGUCACCUCUACCUCCUCCUUUAUCAGCUAUCAUCAGAUGACCCACCACAUCCCGAAGACCAGGGUCUGGUCACUGCACAGCUCAUUCAGAAGAUUCCUUUGACAAGUGGUGAAUGGUCUGUAACAGGAACAGGGCUGUGGGUGGAUGAGGGACGGGGAUUAGUGUACUUCACAGGACUUCGGGAUUCUCCUUUGGAAAAUCACUUAUAUGUUACUUCCAUAUCACAUCCUGGGAUAAUCCAGCGUCUCACCCAGUCUGGGUUCUCCCACCAGGUGGCACUUGACCAGGACUGCACUGUGUUCACCACAGUGUAUAGCAGUGUUGAGAUGCCUUCCCAGAGCCAGGUAUUCCGCAUCACACCUCUGGACACACCAAAUGGCAGUGGGCAGCUGGUAUGGGUCAUUGCCUUGGGAGACCUGGUCAAUGAACCAUUGUCUGAAGGACUGCGGGAGAUCAAGUCAUUAGUGGUACCCGAGGUGUUCACCACCAGGAUAGCAAGUGGGGAUGUGGUUUACUCUAUGGUAUUCAAACCUCAUGGAUUCACUCCAGGCCGCAAGUACCCCACUGUACUGUGUAUUUAUGGAGGACCCCAGGUGCAGCUUGUCACCAACACUUUUAAGGGCUUCCGCCAUAUGAGGACACACAUGCUUGCAGCAAAUGGAUUUUGUGUAGUGAGCAUUGAUUCUCGAGGAUCUGACAACCGUGGUGUCUCCUUCCAAGCCCAUCUCAUGAAUCGAAUGGGGACAGUGGAGAUUGAUGACCAGGUUGAAGUACUGGAGCUGCUUGCUGGACAGUGUGAUUACUUGGACUUAACUCGUCUAGCUGUCACAGGUUGGUCUUAUGGAGGAUACUUGUCCCUUAUGGCUUUGGCUCACCGUCCAGAUCUCUUCAGAUUGGCAAUUGCUGGGGCUCCUGUGGUAUCUUGGGGCUUGUAUGAUACUGGGUACACAGAGCGCUACAUGGAUCUGCCAAGUGUCAACCGAGAUGGGUAUCGUGCUGGCUCUGUACUCUCCUAUGUCAACAACUUACCUGAUGAGGAGAACCGUCUUCUCAUUGUGCAGGGAAUGAUAGAUGAAAAUGUGCAUUUUUCCCACACCAAUCAACUGAUUCAAGCCCUCAUCAAAGCUGGGAAGCCUUACCAGCUGCAGAUAUAUCCUCAGGAGCGCCACUGUCUGCGUCAGCUAGAUUCCAAUGAGCACUACGAGACAAAACUGCUGUCCUUCCUCCUCAAUCAUCUAUGAUGGAGAUGGAACCUAGCCCAGCUUUAUAGUUAUGUCGGACCGAGACAAGGGCCAUGGAACCCCACGGCGUCCUUCCUCCUCUUCCUCCGAAAGGAAACGUCGUGAGAAGGACCCCCUGGACAGCUCAGCCAAGCGGAGAAAAGCUUCUGGGGAAGGUCAGCUUCAACCAGUAAGGCAGCCCUAAAACUCCCCCUGGCCACCGUCAUCUCCACUGUUGGGUGGUCCCGGGAAUCCACCUUUACCAGGUUCUACAAGAGACCUAUCAGCCACCUUGGACAAUUUUCA